CUCUUAUCCAGAGAGGUGGAGGGACUGGCCCUUUGAAGCCUCGGCAACAGCUCAAUAUGAGCCAGUGCCAAUUCCAGUAGCUGCGGCUAGAAGAUGAGAA
rnacentral:ncRNA from 1 species